GCCGAGUCCGGGCCGGGAGCGGGGGUAAUACGUGGGGGGCAAGCGGUGUUCGGAAUUAGUGGGCGUAAAGGGCGCGUAGGCGGCGUGGCGCGUCGGCUGUGAAAACCUGGGGCUCAACGCCGGGCCUGCAGCCGAUACGGGCAAGCUAGAGUUCGGUAGGGGAGACUGGAAUUCCUGGUGUAGCGGUGAAAUGCGCAGAUAUCAGGAGGAACACCGGUGGCGAAGGCGGGUCUCUGGGCCGAUACUGACGCUGAGGAGCGAAAGCGUGGGGAGCGAACAGGAUUAGAUACCCCAGUAGUC
rnacentral:rRNA from 1 species